rnacentral:lncRNA from 1 species
AUGUCGUUUCCUGGUUCAUUACGUGGAAAGUCGUUUCCAGCGUGACCCCUCCUGGUAGAAUGGGCAGCAAUAUUUCCCCGGAGGUUCAUUCCACUGCAUUAUUGAAACCAUUUAUUGUUAUGCAACGCGGUAUUAUCUUAUCCUCGAGUCCAAUUAGUACGAGGACCCUCGGAUGGAUAAUACAGGAACCGCUACCGUCGUCAACCAUAAUUCUUUUAACAUCCGUAUCUACGAUAUGCAAAGUAAUAACUAAUGAAUCAUAAUGAGGGAAAGACAAACCUUUGGCAUCAUACAUACCGAAGGUGAUACUAUCUUUGAAGUCAUCAUACCAUUUGUGGGCGAUGGUUCGCUUCAGUUUGUGUGUAGUGGUGAAUUUGACGUGAUUGAUCGCCGAGUCAUCACCGUCUCCAGUGAUCAUGUUGACUGUUCGUGUUGGUGGGGGUGGCUUUAGUGGCUCGUGGGGUUGUUCCCGUCCACGUGCAAAGUUAAUUUUUCCUUUGUCACUAAGUAGUUCCCUCAGGAAUCCUUAGUCAGCAUCCUGACCACCUCUUGACAUAGGCCUAUGUAGUCUUCGAUUUUGUGCCCUCGUUCCCGAUGAAACUCGCACUGGGCAUUUGAUUUUCUGGUGGCGGGAUCUGAUUUCAUCUUUGUGGGCCACUAUUCUUUGGUCCCCAACUUCUCCAGUGCGCAAACUAUCUCUGUAGGGGACACACAGAAGUUAUGUGCAGAUAAUAAAAGAGGUAUACCUCUGUCAUUUUGUAGUGGGGAGACAUGUCGUUGUAGUGCAUCCACAUGCCUUGGUGGCAUUGGUGAGAAGAUUUUACAUAGGGUUGGUUCCUCUCCCUAUUGGGACGUGGGAUUUGUUCCCGCCAUCCUUUGCUGCGUCGGUCCCUCCUGAUUUUUGGGUGUAUUGUUGUUAAAAGUUGGGCCAACCCAUUGAGGUCAUCCUUUUCUGCACGUACCUCGGCAUAGUAGGCAUUGUGGAUCUCUUCCCAGGUGGUGGGAGGUCACUUCAUGAGACGACUUAGCAGUUUUUUGGUUGCCCUUGAUCCAUCCCUGUUUAACCCGUUCUGAUAAGCGACGACUGCCAUGCCUUCCAACACGUUUGGUAGGCUCAUCCUUACUCUGUUAAAUCUGUCUAGGAAGUCCUUGAGUCCUUCUCCUGUGGUUUGUCGAACAACGAAGAUGUCGUUGACUCUUGCUUCCGCUUUCUUUGCUCAUGCAUGGGCGGUGACAAGCUUGUCCGCCAUUUCCUCGAACGUAGAAAUGAUCUUGGCCGGUAGCUGGGGGUACCAGGUUAGUGCUCCUCCUG